GUGAAACGGUAGCUUGGUUUGUCGUUUCCCUCCAAAUUAGAAACCAAAUAGCUUCCAACUAAUAUGGUCACUGAUUAUCAACAUUAAAACAAAAGAAAUUGACAGUCUCUCUCCAUCGUCUUUCCUUUCAUUUUUUGCACCAUUGAACACCAAAAUCCCCAAAUUUGUAAAACCCUAACCCCAUUGUCAUUUCCUGCCGAAAGUAGAAAUUGCUACUUCGAACUCACCGAGAAAGGCUGCAGGAGGACGUCUGUGGUCACCUGCCACCGAAAGCUUUUUGCAUUUGUGGUUACCGAUCAAGGAGGGUCUCCUACAGAGCUUAGAAGAACAAAUGAGGCCACAGUGAGAGAGAGACAGGUUUGUGUGUCUGUGCAUGUAAAACGCGGAAGACAAGAAAAGCAAAAAUUGAAGCUAAGAUGUUAAGAUUUGUUAUCCUACAAUCAUGGCUUCUCGUAUUCUGCUUAUUCUCCACCACUUUAGCUAAACCAGUAAGUCUUUCUUUUUUCUUUUGACCUUCACUUUAGCAAUUUUUUAAUUUGAUGAAAUUUUAAUUGUUUGAUGGCUGUGGAUUUAAAUUAGGGAUUCUCGUUUAUUAUUUAAUUGGAUAAAUGAUAUUAAUUUUUGAAUAUAGUAGAUAUGUAUAUUGUGGAUUUGAAUUAGGGAAUGUUAUUUAGCAUUUAGCCUGAUAAAUGAGUGUUAUCUUUUGAAUGUAUGUAUGUAUAUAUUCAGUUUGAUAAAUGCUUGUUUAGAAUUUAUGUAUGUAUAAAUGGCUCAUGAGCUGUUUCUCCGUUCUGUGGUUUUAUUUGUGAUUGUUGUUAUUGAUUAAUGUUGAAGUUCUGGUGUUUAAUGAUCUGCCAAAAAUGCAAAACUUCUUACGCUUGCUUGUAGAUUCGCACUUUCACACCAUCCAUAUGAAGCUUCUUAGGUUAGUUAUCAUGUACUAAGCAGUUUGGAUAUUACAUAAAAUAAAAUUAAAUGAAAUUCUUACUUUUUCAUCUAUAAUGUUUCAGGAAACUGAACUUUGAACUGCUUAUUGGUAAUAAUUGAUGUUAUAAUUAUUUCUGUUUUAAAAAACCCAAAACUCUUUUGUUUUUCUUCUAGUUGUUUUAUUCUUUUCUCAAUUCACAUAGUUAGGAAUAUUAGCAAAAUACAUAAAAAAUUGGAUUAUAAGAUAGAUAAAGAAGGAAAAAAGGGAAAAACUAUGAAUCGGUAAUGAUUGCUUCCUUUUCAAUUCUAUACUGCAGUUUGUGGUUGAUAAUAGCUAUGAAUCAGUGUAUAUACUAUAAUAGCUUUAUCACUCGAAUCUAUGUUGGGAGUAUCAAUAAGAGCAAUGAGAAGAGGAAAAACAAAAGUAAUCCUGAUAGAAAUGCAACAUAAUUGUAUGCUUAACGUGACAUGAAAUAUACUUGUUUAUUGCAAAGGGUUUUCACUUUACUAAUUGAAUUUUUACUAAUUAAUAAUUAGGCCUUGUCAGUGUAAACAAUGAUACCUUUUUAAUUUAUUUGUUUUCUUUCUUUUACUUUUUUUCUAUUCAAAAAUAUUAUGCAUGUUUGAGAUUAUAGAGGUAGGAAGGAUCUUAUGUUUCUAAGAGAAUAUCAAAUUCUAUCAAAUCGUUAUGUGGAUGACCCUCCUAGGCAAGUUGAGGUAAGUGCAUAAUAAUAAAUAUAUUAAUUUAAUUAAUUUAGCUAAUUUAAUUUAUUUAAUUAAUUCAGUAACUCCAAUUUAUUUAUUUUGUAUAUUAUAUUAUGUCUAAGGACUGUGUAGGAAAGCCUUGAGGAGCGCCUACCAGAGGCAUCUCACGAUGAAGACGGUAAUCCGAUGCUACUGUCCCAGGAGGAGGAUGAGGGAAUUUUCUUAUAUACAGUUCAGACUUCCUCAUAUAGCAGAUAUGUAUAUGGGAUAAGGAAGAAUAAGACAUCUUCAUAUCACUGUGAUGCUUGGACCUUCACAGCUACCACUAGUGGGACUGACGAGUCGAGCUUUAGAAAACUUGAAGACACUACCAUUCAGUUGGCGAGUCAGUUGCAAGACAAAGACAAGCGGAUUCAAAUGUCGGAGACCACUGUGCGCUAGUUGGUUCAGGGAAUGACCCAGAGCGUUCAACAGCAUGUCCCCUCUACCUGACCCCCUGUCGAUGACUCGCAACAAGAUCCACCUUCUAGCGAGUCAUGAGUUUAUUAGUACUUCUCCUUUCUAUUUCUGUAACUUUCUGUCUGUACAUCGACUUUGUGACCUAGGAAUUUUUUUUUUUGUUAUUAGGAUGUUUGCACUUAUUUAUAUUUUAUACUUUAUAAAAUUCUUGGGCUAAGGCUUUCCAAUAGUCAUUAUCA